UACGAAGGGGGCUAGCGUUGUUCGGAAUUACUGGGCGUAAAGCGCGCGCAGGCGGCUAUCCAAGUCAGUGGUGAAAGCCCGGAGCUCAACUCCGGAACUGCCAUUGAAACUGUUUAGCUUGAGGACGAGAGAGGUGAGUGGAAUUCCCAGUUUAUAGGUGAAAUUCGUAGAUAUUGGGAAGAACGCCGGUGGCGAAGACGGCUCACUGGCUCGUAUCUGACGCUCAGGCACGACAGCGUGGGGAUCAAACAGG
rnacentral:rRNA from 1 species